rnacentral:rRNA from 1 species
GGAGGUUACUGCUAUCGGUGUUCGCCUACCCUUUGCGAGUCAUAUGUUCUUCGUGAACAUGGCGUACUGCUCAGUAACACGUGAAUAACCUGCCCUUGGGACCGGCAUAACCCCGGGAAACUGGGGAUAAUUCCGGAUACCGCAUAUAUGCUGGAAUGCUUUAUGCGUGAAAUGGAUUCGUCUGCCCAAGGAUGGGUCUGCGGCCUAUCAGGUAGUAGUGGGUGUAAUGUACCUACUACCCUACAACGGGUACGGGUUGUGAGAGCAAGAGCCCGGAAAUGGAUUCUGAAACAUGAAUCCAGGCCCUACGGGGCGCACCAGGCGCGAAAACUUUACAAUGCGGGAAACCGUGAUAAGGGGACACCGAGUGCCAGCAACAUUUGUUGGCUGUCCAGGUGUGUAAACUACACCUGUUAGCAAGGGCCGGGCAAGACCGGUGC